UACGUAGGGUGCAAGCGUUAAUCGGAAUUACUGGGCGUAAAGCGUGCGCAGGCGGUUCGUUAUGUCCGAUGUGAAAGCCCCGAGCUCAACUUGGGAAUGGCAUUGGAAACUGGCGGGCUGGAGUGUGGCAGAGGGGGGUGGAAUUCCACGUGUAGCAGUGAAAUGCGUAGAGAUGUGGAGGAACACCGAUGGCGAAGGCAGCCCCCUGGGCCGACACUGACGCUCAGGCACGAAAGCGUGGGGAGCAAACAGG
rnacentral:rRNA from 1 species